rnacentral:rRNA from 1 species
UACAGAGGUCCCAAGCGUUGUUCGGAUUCAUUGGGCGUAAAGGGUGCGUAGGUGGCGGGGUAAGUUGGAUGUGAAAUCCUGGGGCUCAACCCUAGAACUGCAUUCAAUACUGCCUUGCUGGAGUACUGGAGAGGAGAUUGGAAUUUACGGUGUAGCAGUGAAAUGCGUAGAGAUCAUGAGGAAGACCAGUGGCGAAGGCGGGUCUCUGGACAGUUCCUGACACUGAGACACGAAGGCCAGGGGAGCAAACGGG